CCCUUAGAUGUUCUGGGCCGCACGCGCGCUACACUGAUGCAUUCAACGAGUUUCUUCCUGGUCCGAGAGGAAUGGGUAACCUUUUGAAAGUGCAUCGUGAUAGGGAUAGGCUAUUGCAAUUAUUGGUCUUCGACGAGGAAUUCCUAGUAGACGUAGUUCAUCAGACUGCAUCGAUUACGUCCCUGCCCUUUGUACACACCGCCCGUCGCUCCUACCGAUUGAAUGAUCCGAUGAAUACCAUGGAUUGAGAGUACGAAUAGGUUCGCUUAUUUCUGCUGCUCGAGAAGUGGAGUAAAUCUUAUCAUUUAGAGGAAGGAGAAGUCGUAACA
rnacentral:rRNA from 1 species